UGGGGAAUUUUGGACAAUGGACGCAAGUCUGAUCCAGCCAUGCCGCGUGCGGGAAGAAGGCCUUCGGGUUGUAAACCGCUUUUGUCAGGGAAGAAACGAGUUUCUCUAAUACAGAGACUUAAUGACGGUACCUGAAGAAUAAGCACCGGCUAACUACGUGCCAGCAGCCGCGGUAAUACGUAGGGUGCAAGCGUUAAUCGGAAUUACUGGGCGUAAAGCGUGCGCAGGCGGUUAUGCAAGACAGAUGUGAAAUCCCCGGGCUCAACCUGGGAACUGCAUUUGUGACUGCAUAGCUGGAGUGCGGCAGAGGGGGAUGGAAUUCCGCGUGUAGAAGUGAAAUGCGUAGAUAUGCGGAGGAACACCGAUGGCGAAGGCAAUCCCCUGGGCCUACACUGACGCUCAUGCACGAAAGCGUGGGGAGCAAACA
rnacentral:rRNA from 1 species